rnacentral:rRNA from 1 species
AUUGAACGCUGGCGGCAUGCCUUACUCAUGCAAGUCGAACGGCAGCACGGGUGCUUGCACCUGGUGGCGAGUGGCUAACGGGUGAGUAAUACAUCGGAACAUGUCCUGUAGUGGGGGAUAGCCCGGCGAAAGCCGUAUUAAUACCGCAUACGAUCUACGGAUGAAAGCGGGGGACCUUCGGGCCUCGCGCUAUAGGGUUGGCCGAUGGCUGAUUAGCUAGUUGGUGGGGUAAAGGCCUACCAAGGCGACGAUCAGUAGCUGGUCUGAGAGGACGACCAGCCACACUGGGACUGAGACACGGCCCAGACUCCUACGGGAGGCAGCAGUGGGGAAUUUUGGACAAUGGGCGAAAGCCUGAUCCAGCAAUGCCGCGUGUGUGAAGAAGGCCUUCGGGUUGUAAAGCACUUUUGUCCGGAAAGAAAUCCUUGGCCCUAAUACGGUCGGGGGAUGACGGUACCGGAAGAAUAAGCACCGGCUAACUACGUG